GCCUGGCUAGCUCAAUCGGUAGAGCGUGAGACUCUUAUCCAAUCUCAAGGCUGUGGGUUCAAGCCCCACGUCGGGCU
rnacentral:tRNA from 1 species